rnacentral:snoRNA from 9 species
CGGCUCGAUUUCCUGGGGGGUGGGCUCAGCCUACCCCACCUCCCCUCAGACGAGCCCAGAGCAGAGAGGCUGGGCUUCCUCCCCAACAGGAGAGGCGGUUAAGACAGGAGCCUCGCCUGGGCUGUCCUUGCCUCACAUUU